GAUGAACGCUGGCGGCAUGCCUAAUACAUGCAAGUCGGACGCAGGAAGGGGAAAGCUUGCUUUUCUCGGAAUGAGUGGCGAACGGGUGAGUAACACGUAGAUAACCUGCCUAUGAGACUGGGAUAACGGAUGGAAACGUCUGCUAAUACCGGAUAGGUAAACAGGAGGCAUCUUCUGUUUAUUAAAGUUGGGAUACAGCACUGAUAGAUGGAUCUGCGGUGCAUUAGCUAGUUGGUGAGGUAACGGCCCACCAAGGCGAUGAUGCAUAGCCGGCCUGAGAGGGUGAACGGCCACAUUGGGACUGAGACACGGCCCAAACUCCUACGGGAGGCAGCAGUAGGGAAUUUUUCGGCAAUGGGGGAACCCUGGACCGAGCAAUGCCGCGU
rnacentral:rRNA from 1 species